AUUUUCGUCCAGGGGUGGUCGGAGGGAUCAUUACCGAGUUUACAACUCCCAAACCCAAUGUGAACGUUACCAAACUGUUGCCUCGGCGGGGUCACGCCCCGGGUGCGUCGCAGCCCCGGAACCAGGCGCCCGCCGGAGGAACCAACCAAACUCUUUCUGUAGUCCCCUCGCGGACGUAUUUCUUACAGCUCUGAGCAAAAAUUCAAAAUGAAUCAAAACUUUCAACAACGGAUCUCUUGGUUCUGGCAUCGAUGAAGAACGCAGCGAAAUGCGAUAAGUAAUGUGAAUUGCAGAAUUCAGUGAAUCAUCGAAUCUUUGAACGCACAUUGCGCCCGCCAGUAUUCUGGCGGGCAUGCCUGUCCGAGCGUCAUUUCAACCCUCGAACCCCUCCGGGGGAUCGGCGUUGGGGAUCGGGACCCCUCACACGGGUGCCGGCCCCGAAAUACAGUGGCGGUCUCGCCGCAGCCUCUCCUGCGCAGUAGUUUGCACAACUCGCACCGGGAGCGCGGCGCGUCCACGUCCGUAAAACACCCAACUUUCUGAAAUGUUGACCUCGGAUCAGGUAGGAAUGCCCAAG
rnacentral:rRNA from 2 species